UUAUGAUCACGUGACUAGCCUUUCUCCCUGUGGAUUUGCUCCGUCUAGACGCCAUUACGAGUCAUGUCUGUUUUAUGUGAUUCCGUGGGACUUAGCCGCCGCUGUAAAGACACGCCAUGGAGAUCAAAGAGGCUGGGGAAGGAGACGGUGGCUGAGUGGUUAGCGUGCCGGUCCUGCGUUCGCUACGUCAUGGAUGAUGAGGGUUUGAAUCUGUCGCUGCCACAGACUACUUGUCCUGAAGACCACCACCAUCAUCCUGGACUGUAUGGGACUGUCCAAGGGAAAGCAAGAUGGGGCCGCUAUAAACACUUGCCGGCUUGGGCCCACCACCAUGCCCAGCCAAGGGAGGUUGGUGUAGCAGUGCCGGGAGGUUCCAUAACACAGGGCACUCCUCACCUCAACAACAGUCUCUUCACCGACAAGUAAUUCUUCACCAACAAGCUUUUCAGCAGCUUGGAGAAAUAGACACUACCAAACGAAGAAGAGGAGGAGGAGGAGGACUGGGAAGAAGACGAGGAACACAGGAGGAACCCAUUGGUGAGUGUUAAUUUAUUUUUUUCUAAAAUGGUUAACGAGCAAUCAAGGAAUUUUUAUAAUAAGGAGGGAAAGUGUGAUGUUUUUUUGUAGUUUUG